CCUACGGGAGGCAGCAGUGGGGGAUAUUGCACAAUGGGGGAAACCCUGAUGCAGCGACGCCGCGUGGGUGAAGAAGCGCCUCGGCGCGUAAAGCCCUGUCAGCAGGGAAGAAAAUUACGGUACCUGAAGAAGACGCCCCGGCUACCUACGUGCCAGCCGCCGCGGUAAUACGUAGGGGGCAAGCGUUAUCCGGAUUUACUGGGUGUAAAGGGGGCGCAGACGGCGAUGCAAGCCAGGAGUGAAAGCCCGGGGCCCAACCCCGGGACUGCUCUUGGAACUGCGUGGCUAGAGUGCAGGAGGGGCAGGCGGAAUUCCUGGUGUAGCGGUGAAAUGCGUAGAUAUCAGGAGGAACACCGGUGGCGAAGGCGGCCUGCUGGACUGAAACUGACGUUGAGGCCCGAAAGCGUGGGGAGCAAACAGGAUUAGAUACCCUUGUAGUC
rnacentral:rRNA from 1 species